CCUACGGGGGGCAGCAGUGAGGAAUAUUGGUCAAUGGCCGUAAGGCUGAACCAGCCAAGUAGCGUGAGGGAAGACUGUCCUAUGGGUUGUAAACCUCUUUUAUGCGGGGAUAAAGGUGUCCACGUGUGGAUGUUUGCAGGUACCGCAUGAAUAAGGACCGGCUAAUUCCGUGCCAGCAGCCGCGGUAAUACGGGAGGUCCGGGCGUUAUUCGGGUGUAUUGGGUUGAAAGGGAGCGUAGGGCGGUCUGUAAUGGUGCCGUGAAAUUUUGUGGCUCAACCAUGAGAGUGCGGCGCGAACUGGAGACCUUGAGUGCGCGGAGGGCAGGCGGAAUUCGUGGUGUAGCGGUGAAAUGCUUAGAUAUCACGAAGAACCACGAUUGCGAAGGCAGCCUGCCGCAGCGUUACUGACGCUGAAGCUCGAAAGCGCGGGUAUCGAACAGGAUUAGAUACCCGUGUAGUC
rnacentral:rRNA from 1 species